GCCGCAUUGGCGCAGUCGCAGCGCAUCUCGCUUGUAUACAUGUGGCGUAGUUGCAAAUGUGCAGUGAAAGGGACACUCGUUCGAUCCGGGUACGCGGCA